GACGAACGCUGGCGGCGUGCUUAACACAUGCAAGUCGAACGAUGAACCCGGAGCUUGCUCUGGGGGAUUAGUGGCGAACGGGUGAGUAACACGUGAGAAACCUGCCCUGGACUCUGGGAUAAGCGUUGGAAACGACGUCUAAUACCGGAUAGGACCUUGGAUCGCAUGAUCUGGGGUGGAAAGUUGUUUCGUUCUGGGAUGGACUCGCGGCCUCUCAGGUUGUUGGUGAGGCAAUGGCUCUGCAAGGCGUCGACGGGUAGCCGGCCUGGGAGGGGGAACGGCCACACUCGGACUGAUGCGCGGCACAGACUCCUUCGCGCGGCAGCACUGGGGAAUAUUGCUGCUUGGGCGAAAUCCUGAUGCAGCUACGCCGCGUGCGGGAUGCAGUCCUUCGGGUUGUUAGCCGCUUUUAGUAGGGAAGAAGGGCUUCGGCUUGACGUUACCUGCAGAAAAAGGACCGGCUAACUACGUU
rnacentral:rRNA from 1 species